GACGAACGCUGGCGGCGUGCCUAACACAUGCAAGUCGAACGGAACUUAUCGAAUGAAGUUUUCGGAUGGAUUUUGGUAAGUUUAGUGGCGGACGGGUGAGUAACGCGUGAGUAACCUGCCUUCAAGAGGGGAAUAACGUUCUGAAAAGAACGCUAAUACCGCAUAACAUACGGAUGUCGCAUGGCAACCGUAUCAAAGAUUUUAUCGCUUGAAGAUGGACUCGCGUCCGAUUAGCCAGUUGGCGGGGUAACGGCCCACCAAAGCGACGAUCGGUAGCCGGACUGAGAGGUUGAACGGCCACAUUGGGACUGAGACACGGCCCAA
rnacentral:rRNA from 1 species